GCGGUCAUGCUGGAAUUGGUAGACAGGCACGGUUGAGGGCCGUGUGGGUUAUCCCGUGAGAGUUCAAGUCUCUCUGACCGCACCA
rnacentral:tRNA from 1 species